AUCCUACCACAUGCAAUGUAAAACAAUACUCGUAUUUGUAUGUUCUAAAUUAUUACCAAUAAUUAGAACUUAUUCUAGUCCUGUUAUAAUGUUUUUCCAACUUAAAUAUUCAAUUGGUAACAGUGUAUCUUCCAGUGUUUUGUCCCUGUACUGUUUCUAGGCUUGAUCACUUCUACAGUGGAGUUUACCAACAUCAAGUGCACUUCAUUGGACAAGGAAUUCGAUGAUUUUGAGUAUUGCUAUCUGAAGUCGGUGAAUCGCAGCUACAAGUACAUGUCUCUCAAAGUGAAUUUGUAUAAACUUCCGAUUACCAAAGUCAAAGUUAACAUUUCACUGCUCAAGCGAUUCAGCGGCUAUAAGCCAUUCCUCUACAAUUUUACCAUAGAUGCAUGCAAAUUCCUAAGGAACCGAAAUUCAAAUAGCGUUGUUGCCUACUUUCAUGAUAUGUUCAGGAGCCACUCCAACAUGAAUCACACCUGUCCCUUUCGAUCAUGAUCUUGUGGUGGACAAGGUUCCUAUCGACUUCAUCAAUCGGCACUUUACGGAAGUCCUGCCCUUUCCCAAGGGGGACUACCUCUUCCACUCCAACUGGUUCGCCUACAAUGUAAACCGCGCUGAAGUCAACUUCUAUUUCACUCUUUCUUAAUUACUUUUAAUUAAUUUAAUUGUGCAUACCGGAUUGCUCCGCGUUUAAAUAAACGGGA